GGGGAUGUAGCUCAUCUGGUAGAGCGCGCGCUUCGCAUGCGUGAGGCACAGGGUUCGAUUCCCUGCUUCUCCA